rnacentral:rRNA from 1 species
GUGGGGAAUAUUGCACAAUGGGCGAAAGCCUGAUGCAGCAACGCCGCGUGAGCGAUGAAGGCCUUCGGGUCGUAAAGCUCUGUCCUCAAGGAAGAUAAUGACGGUACUUGAGGAGGAAGCCCCGGCUAACUACGUGCCAGCAGCCGCGGUAAUACGUAGGGGGCUAGCGUUAUCCGGAAUUACUGGGCGUAAAGGGUGCGUAGGUGGUUUUUUAAGUCAGAAGUGAAAGGCUACGGCUCAACCGUAGUAAGCUUUUGAAACUGAGAAACUUGAGUGCAGGAGAGGAGAGUAGAAUUCCUAGUGUAGCGGUGAAAUGCGUAGAUAUUAGGAGGAAUACCAGUUGCGAAGGCGGCUCUCUGGACUGUAACUGACACUGAGGCACGAAAGCGUGGGGAGCAAACAGGAUUAGAUACCCGAGUAGUCC